GAUGAACGCUAGCUACAGGCUUAACACAUGCAAGUCGAGGGGCAGCAUGGUCUUAGCUUGCUAAGGCCGAUGGCGACCGGCGCACGGGUGAGUAACACGUAUCCAACCUGCCGUCUACUCUUGGACAGCCUUCUGAAAGGAAGAUUAAUACAAGAUGGCAUCGUGAGUCCACAUGUUCACAUGAUUAAAGGUAUUCCGGUAGACGAUGGGGAUGCGUUCCAUUAGAUAGUAGGCGGGGUAACGGCCCACCUAGUCUUCGAUGGAUAGGGGUUCUGAGAGGAAGGUCCCCCACAUUGGAACUGAGACACGGUCCAAACUCCUACGGGAGGCAGCAGUGAGGAAUAUUGGUCAAUGGGCGAGAGCCUGAACCAGCCAAGUAGCGUGAAGGAUGACUGCCCUAUGGGUUGUAAACUUCUUUUAUAAAGGAAUAAAGUCGGGUAUGGAUACCCGUUUGCAUGUACUUUAUGAAUAAGGAUCGGCUAACUCCGUGCCAGCAGCCGCGGUAAUACGGAGGAUCCGAGCGUUAUCCGGAUUUAUUGGGUUUAAAGGGAGCGUAGAUGGAUGUUUAAGUCAGUUGUGAAAGUUUGCGGCUCAACCGUAAAAUUGCAGUUGAUACUGGAUAUCUUGAGUGCAGUUGAGGCAGGCGGAAUUCGUGGUGUAGCGGUGAAAUGCUUAGAUAUCACGAAGAACUCCGAUUGCGAAGGCAGCCUGCUAAGCUGCAACUGACAUUGAGGCUCGAAAGUGUGGGUAUCAAACAGGAUUAGAUACCCUGGUAGUCCACACGGUAAACGAUGAAUACUCGCUGUUUGCGAUAUACAGCAAGCGGCCAAGCGAAAGCGUUAAGUAUUCCACCUGGGGAGUACGCCGGCAACGGUGAAACUCAAAGGAAUUGACGGGGGCCCGCACAAGCGGAGGAACAUGUGGUUUAAUUCGAUGAUACGCGAGGAACCUUACCCGGGCUUAAAUUGCAGAUGAAUUACGGUGAAAGCCGUAAGCCGCAAGGCAUCUGUGAAGGUGCUGCAUGGUUGUCGUCAGCUCGUGCCGUGAGGUGUCGGCUUAAGUGCCAUAACGAGCGCAACCCUUGUUGUCAGUUACUAACAGGUUCCGCUGAGGACUCUGACAAGACUGCCAUCGUAAGAUGUGAGGAAGGUGGGGAUGACGUCAAAUCAGCACGGCCCUUACGUCCGGGGCUACACACGUGUUACAAUGGGGGGUACAGAGGGCCGCUACCACGCGAGUGGAUGCCAAUCCCAAAAACCUCUCUCAGUUCGGACUGGAGUCUGCAACCCGACUCCACGAAGCUGGAUUCGCUAGUAAUCGCGCAUCAGCCACGGCGCGGUGAAUACGUUCCCGGGCCU
rnacentral:rRNA from 1 species